rnacentral:lncRNA from 1 species
AAAGAAUAGACAAUAAUCUAGAUCAUUUAAAUUCAGGACUCAGAUGAGGAUCCUGACGAGUCCUGAAGAAAUUAGAACUUUUAUCAGCAUAGUACAUACUGGUCCUCCAAACACUGAAUAAACAAUUAAAACAAAUACUCAGCUCCAGUUUAAUACAGCUAAGUAUUUAAAAAAAAACACACUAACUUUUGUCAUUUCUGGAUGCCUUGCAUUCUUCUGAUUAUCACUCUCCUGUCCUCCAUCCCCCUUGUUUCACUUAUUCUUGUUUAUAACAGUUUCUUUUUCUCCAUGUUCCUCCUGUGUCCACAUUCUUACAGGUCAUUAGCUCUCAAAUAUUCUGAAUUUGGGGAGAAAGGAACUUUUCUCAGGUCUCUCUACAUUCUGUAUUACAUUUAUGUCCUUUUCCAUUCUUUCUUUAUUUUCUAUUCAGAAGCCUUCCUUAUUUUCUGUUUUGGGGUUUUAUUUUAUUCAACUGUAUAAAUACCUAGAUAAACAAUUACAUCCAUCACNAUUUUCUAUUCAGAAGUCUUCCUUAUUUUCUGUUUUUGGGUUUUAUUUUAUUCAACUGUAUAAAUACCUAGAUAAACAAUUACAUCCAUCACCAGGGUAUCAGAACAACUUUAAAACGUAUUAAAAUAUACCUGUGAAGUAUGCAUUUAUUCUUGCCCUUUCCCCAAUCCAUUCUCAUUGCCCUUUGCCCCAUUUCAAUGGGCCAUCCUGCUCUGUGAGACAUUCAUGUCACUGCAAGAGAUGGAUUCAGCCUCCAGCAUCAUUCCUAUUAGUGGUCUGGACAGAAUUUGAACUGUUGACUGAUAAACGGCCAAAGGCUCCAAAUCCUAUUACUUGUCCUUGUUUCUGGACUGAUGCUAGAACCCUAAGUUGAAACAUAAUAUGUGAUGGUUACAAACACUAGGAAUGAGAGGAUAANCUGAUAAACGGCCAAAGGCUCCAAAUCCUAUUACUUGUCCAUGUUUCUGGACUGAUGCUAGAACCCUAACUUGAAACAUAAUAUGUGAUGGUUACAAACACUAGGAAUGAGAGGAUAAGAAGGAACUUGUAAUAUUUUCCAUGGGAUCUCAUGACAACAGCUGUAACUUAUAACAACAUGAAAUAUAUAAUAAAGGGCAUAUUUUUCAAGUACUCA